CUGCUGGCGAACAGCCGAGGGCUCAUCCCGCGAUUGGACGGUGAUUGGCUCCUUGUGGGUCACGUGACUGGACAUCCGCUCCGCCGCUGUUGCUGUCGGGCAGCUAUGACAACGUCGUUUAAAUGCUGCUUGAAUGGCCUCCCAGCAGAAGAAGAAGAAGCAGCAGCUUCACUCCGCCGGACUGCGGCAGAAGUGUCUGAAGUGCACCGUGCGUCUGGACGUGCACGCAGUCACGUGUCCUGGAGUGCUUCUGUCUAAGCAAAAUGAUGUCUACCUCAGUGUGCGCAUCAUGGGCCAGUACAAGAAAACUCCCCAUUUGCCUCCUGUCUUCCCACUACUCUUCCACCACAAAAUGGUCUUUGUCAAGAUUUUCCCCGGUGUUGUUGACCCUGCUGAUGUGGCUGACCUCCUUGAAGCUGACAUAGCAUCUUUUGAGCUGAUUCAGUUGGUGCCUCCAGAAGGUGAGAUACUAGCCACGAUGGAGGAAAACAGCAGAGAUUGCCUCUACCCCGGCCCCAGAUUGGGUAAUAGGGAAGGAGCAGCAGAGAGAGAAGCACUAAUGAAGAGGUCCUCUUCCUUUCCUGGAAUCUCCCCCAAAGUGGAGUUUGCCACAUCAUCAGUCAUAGAAGAAUGUCAUUGGAGAGACAGCCGACCUGCUUCAUGUACUUGCUGCCUUUCUCCUGUGGGACCGUCUUUAAGCCCAUGCAGACAAUGUUCAACAAACUGUGUCUCUUUGAAAUGUGGAAAAGAAAGACAAGAUGCUGAGACUGUGUUUACACAGUCUGGGCCGCCACCGUCCUCAUCUAGAGCCUCUCCUCCAUCCACACGUGACCGCCGUCCUCAGAAAAGCAAGAAGGAAAAGAACAGCAUUUGUCCUAAAGUUUCUGCGGACGCUGGCUACCAGCAGCCCACAGUUACCUCUACAGCACGAGCCCUGUCUCCUUAUACUCACCGCAAGAUGUGCCAGCUUUCAGAGGACGCGCGGCAGAGACUGGGCCACCUCCAGCUGGGCCCUCACCACUUCAGGAAGGAGCUCAGGAGCCAGCCACCCUUCUUAGUCUCGCGUUGCAGUAACGUGUCUUGGAUGGGAACUCCUUCCCCCUCUUUCCAGAGUGGCUGCCCUCGUCAUCACUCCAUUAGCCCAUUAUCUGAACACACAGAUUCUUGUCUCUUGGGGAGCUACAGACCAAGAUUAAGCAGAGUGAAGGCCCAGGAGUCUCCAGAGAGACCGUCCAGACAUGAACAGACCAUGUGUCCUGUGAGGGGCACUGCCUCAGCUCAGUCUACCCUGGUUGUGUCAGACUCCAGAAGUCCUCUGAAUCUCAGCAGCCGUUCCCUGAGAGAUAGCCUGAGUCUGAUGCAUUUGACCCGAUGCACGCUUUAAUACAUUCAGAGAGACCUUGUCAUCGAUCACAGCGGCUGUAGAAGCAGCGCCUCCUCUGUCUUAUGUUGGGUUACAGCACAGACUAGUGGACAAAAGAAAAGGAUCAGGAUCAAUCUUGAUGGCUUCAGACCAGUCAGUCCAGUCCAUCCUACUGGGAGGAGAUUCACCACAGAGUUCAGAAGAUUCUACAGACUCACAGAACCACCAGGGAACAAACGAAACAGUAACUUAACCCUGCGAUGGCCUGGCGACUUGUCCACUGAACCUAGCCUCUUGACCGACUGUCAGCUGAGAUUCGCUCCAUCAUGCUCACGACCCUUGCAAAAAAAUAAGUGGCCAAGAUAGUGAUAUGGUGCUAUUUUAUACUGCAGGACAACCUAUAUUAAUGUUUAGUUUAAGUAUUAGAAACUUUUAAGCCAUUGAAAAGAUUUUCAAUAAUGUAUUGAAUUACAUGUAUUUAAUUACAAUGAAUACUGCAAAACAAGAUGUUAAAUAGAAUUUGACUAAUUAAUGUUGCAGUUAAAAAUACUGUAAGCAUGUUCACCAUAAUUACUGAUCCUUGUACAAAGUCUUUUUUAAUCACUUAGUCACUUUUAGUCACUUUUUAAUAGCAUAGUUGGAGAAUUAACAUCUUUGUCAUACAAUCUAUUUCAUGUACAUAAACUCUGUUUUGAGAUCAUGCUUUAUGAAAGACCAGGAUUCAGUUUCUUGUAGUCAUGGUUAAGUCACAAAAAUAUAAUCUAUGCUCCAGCUGAUGACAACCUUUUUCUGCUUAAAGCACUGAAGUCUCUAAAAAAUUCCCUCAAACUUAGAUUUUAUCACAGGAAUUGUUGAGAUUCAGUUCUUUUUAAAUUUCUUCUUGUUCUUGCUCUUGUUUUUGUUUUUGUUCUUCUUGCCGGCAGCCUGCGCCGCUGUCUCCAUCAGAAUGUGCUGGAAUUUCUUCUUGUUUUUACUGGGGAAAAACAAACAUGUCUUUACUUUUCAAGUACUGAUGAUUUUGGUGUUACUUUACAAAAAAAAUGUAUCAUGUAAUAAGCCAAGAACAAGUGAACCAGAAGACAGGAAACACUACAGAUAAGAUCAGAGCAGCAGGGCCCCGUUCCUGUUUGUCUGAAUGUCCCUGACAUGACACCCAUGAGUGUCAGUACCUCACAUUAGUUAAACCUCAGUAUAAUCAGCUAGAAGGGUGACUGAGUGUUUGUUUCUCCCAAGUCAUUUGCUGAAGCCACAGCAGAUGACCAGUAAUACGGUAUAUACAUAAUUUAACUUACUGCCUGAACUCAGCAUCAGCCAGCAGCUCCUCCACCAUGGUUCUUUUCCUCUGCUUCUUAGGAACACGGGAAUGAUAGAAGUCGACCGGGCUGUCCACCACUGUGCCAACCUG